rnacentral:rRNA from 1 species
UACGGAGGGAGCAAGCGUUACUUCGGAAUUAUUGGGCGUAAAGGGCGCGUAGGCGAUCUGACAAGUCUGGUGUGAAAGCCCACAUGUUAACUGUGGAAGUGCAUUAGAAAACUGUUUGGAUUUUGAGUUCAGGAGAGGAAGGCAGAAUUCCCGGUGUAGCGGUGAAAUGCGUAGAGAUCGGGAGGAAUACCAGUGGCGAAGGCGGCCUUCUGGACUGACACUUGACGCUGAGGCGCGAAAGCCAGGGGAGCAAAACGGG